rnacentral:rRNA from 1 species
GACGAACGCUGGCGGCGUGCUUAACACAUGCAAGUCGAACGGAAAGGCCCUGCUUUUGUGGGGUGCUCGAGUGGCGAACGGGUGAGUAACACGUGAGUAACCUGCCCUUGACUUUGGGAUAACUUCAGGUAACUGGGGCUAAUACCGGAUAGGAGCUCCUGCUGCAUGGUGGGCGUUGGAAAGUUUCGGCGGGUGGGGAUGGACUCGCGGCUUAUGAGCUUGUUGGUGGGGUAGUGGCUUACCAAGGCUUUGACGGGUAGGCGGCCUGGGAGGGGGGACGGGGAACAGAGGAAUAAGGGAAGGACCAGAAUGCUACGGGGGGCAAUAGGGGGGAAAAUGACCCAAAGGGAGGGAGCGGGAGGAAAAAACGGCCGGGUGGGGAAGACGGGCUUUGGGGUAAGAAAAGCAGUAGGCUGAUAAGAAGCGGGAGUGACGGUAAAGGGUAAAGAAGCACCGGCUAACUACGUG